UUAAGUUAUCUUCUAGCAUGCACUCAAGUACAAGCCACUCCAAAAGCAAGGUGAGGUGCGUGAUGGGCUUGGCCCUGUCCCCCACUCACAAGCCAGCAGCAGUAGCUAUCCCUGGAGGGGAAGAGCAGCUGCACUCUGCUAAAAGGUGCUGCAGCACUGCACCAUACUGCUACAAGUAACAGCAAUAUAGAAAAUGAUGGCCUAAAGAACACAAGAAAAUGCGCCAAACCUGAUAGUCCUAAUGUUUGAUUCUGAAUAUGACUGUCAUGAAACAAGUGCAAGCCUUCAGCAACCGCGGCUGCCUGAUUAGUCUCACAGUCACUCCAACGAGCUAUCAGCUUCCCAGCAUGAAGUUCUACUGCAUCACUGCUCCAAGCCUUUAGGCAAAGGAUUCUAAUAAUGAGUCACAGUGCCGUGACUGAGGCCACACUUCUGCUCUGGUCAUUAAUAAAAACGUUGCACAGUGGAGGACCAAGAAGCAAUCAUUGCAGGACCCUGUUGGAAACGCACCCAUUAAAAUGAAACAGUCAUCACCUGGAAAGAGAGGCUUUUAGAUGGAAUUGGAGAUGACACAAUGAUUAAUUCAUCACUCUUUGAGUUGUGAAGAACCAGGUUUGAAUCGGUCUGAGAUUCCAAAUAAACUAUGGUUGGUGGUC